rnacentral:rRNA from 1 species
CCUACGGGAGGCAGCAGUGAGGAAUAUUGGUCAAUGGACGAGAGUCUGAACCAGCCAAGUAGCGUGAAGGAUGACUGCCCUAUGGGUUGUAAACUUCUUUUAUAUGGGAAUAAAACGUUCCACGUGUGGGAUUUUGUAUGUACCAUAUGAAUAAGGAUCGGCUAACUCCGUGCCAGCAGCCGCGGUAAUACGGAGGAUCCGAGCGUUAUCCGGAUUUAUUGGGUUUAAAGGGAGCGUAGGUGGAUUGUUAAGUCAGUUGUGAAAGUUUGCGGCUCAACCGUAAAAUUGCAGUUGAAACUAGCAGUCUUGAGUACAGUAGAGGUGGGCGGAAGUCGUGGUGUAGCGGUGAAAUGCUUAGAUAUCACGAAGAACUCCGAUUGCGAAGGCAGUUCACUGGACUGCAACUGACACUGAGGCUCGAAAGUGUGGGUAUCAAACAGGAUUAGAUACCCGGGUAGUC